UACGGGGGGGGGCAAGCGUUGUUCGGAAUUACUGGGCGUAAAGGGCUCGUAGGCGGCCAACUAAGUCGGAUGUGAAAUCCCCAGGCUCAACUUGGGAACUGCAUCCGAUACUGGAUGGCUUGAAUUCGGGAGAGGGAUGCAGAAUUCCAGGUGUAGCGGUGAAAUGCGUAGAUAUCUGGAGGAACACCAGCGGCGAAGGCGGUUCUCUGGGCCUUACCUGACGCUGAGGAGCGAAAGCGUGGGGAGCGAACAGG
rnacentral:rRNA from 1 species